AGAGUUUGAUCCUGGCUCAGAACGAACGCUGGCGGCAGGCCUAACACAUGCAAGUCGAACGAGAAGCCACCUUCGGGUGGUGGACAGUGGCAGACGGGUGAGUAACGCGUGGGAACGUGCCUUUCGGUUCGGGAUAACCCAGGGAAACUUGGACUAAUACCGGAUACGCCCUUCGGGGGAAAGAUUUAUUGCCGAAAGAUCGGCCCGCGUCGGAUUAGCUAGUUGGUGAGGUAAAAGCUCACCAAGGCGACGAUCCGUAGCUGGUCUGAGAGGAUGACCAGCCACACUGGGACUGAGACACGGCCCAGACUCCUACGGGAGGCAGCAGUGGGGAAUAUUGGACAAUGGGCGCAAGCCUGAUCCAGCCAUGCCGCGUGGGUGAAGAAGGCCUUAGGGUUGUAAAUCCCUUUCAGCGGGGAAGAUAAUGACGGUACCCGCAGAAGAAGCCCCGGCUAACUCCGUGCCAGCAGCCGCGGUAAUACGGAGGGGGCUAGCGUUGUUCGGAAUUACUGGGCGUAAAGCGCGCGUAGGCGGACCUGUAAGUCGGGGGUGAAAGCCCGAGGCUCAACCUCGGAACUGCCUCCGAUACUACAGGUCUUGAGUCCGAGAGAGGUGAGUGGAAUUCCUAGUGUAGAGGUGAAAUUCGUAGAUAUUAGGAAGAACACCAGUGGCGAAGGCGGCUCACUGGCUCGGUACUGA
rnacentral:rRNA from 1 species